AACUCAUGGCUUAGUGGUUUGAGUGUUGGACUACAACUCUGGAGACCAGGGUUCAAUUCCCUGCUCAGCCA